UCAGUUUCCCAGGUCUGCCGGGCCGCCACCUGGGCGUCGGUUCACACUUUUUCUAAGUUGUACCAUAUUCAUUCCUUGGCUUCUGCUGAUGCCAGUCUGGGAAGCAAGGUUCUGCAAGCAGCUGUGCUUUAGAUUGCCAUCUGGCGAUC